ACACAUGCAAGUCGAACGGAGCUGAGAGGAGCUUGCUUUUCUUAGCUUAGUGGCGAACGGGUGAGUAACGCGUGAGUAACCUGCCCUGGAGUGGGGGACAACAGUUGGAAACGACUGCUAAUACCGCAUAAGCCCACGAUCCGGCAUCGGAUUGAGGGAAAAGGAUUUAUUCGCUUCAGGAUGGACUCGCGUCCAAUUAGCUAGUUGGUGAGGUAACGGCCCACCAAGGCGACGAUUGGUAGCCGGACUGAGAGGUUGAACGGCCACAUUGGGACUGAGACACGGCCCAGACUCCUACGGGAGGCAGCAGUGGGGGAUAUUGCACAAUGGGGGAAACCCUGAUGCAGCGACGCCGCGUGGAGGAAGAAGGUUUUCGGAUUGUAAACUCCUGUCGUUAGGGACGAUAAUGACGGUACCUAACAAGAAAGCACCGGCUAACUACGUGCCAGCAGCCGCGGUAAAACGUAGGGUGCAAGCGUUGUCCGGAAUUACUGGGUGUAAAGGGAGCGCAGGCGGACCGGCAAGUUGGAAGUGAAAACUAUGGGCUCAACCCAUAAAUUGCUUUCAAAACUGCUGGCCUUGAGUAGUGCAGAGGUAGGUGGAAUUCCCGGUGUAGCGGUGGAAUGCGUAGAUAUCGGGAGGAACACCAGUGGCGAAGGCGACCUACUGGGCACCAACUGACGCUGAGGCUCGAAAGCAUGGGUAGCAAACAGGAUUAGAUACCCUGGUAGUCCAUGCCGUAAACGAUGAUUACUAGGUGUUGGAGGAUUGACCCCUUCAGUGCCGCAGUUAACACAAUAAGUAAUCCACCUGGGGAGUACGACCGCAAGGUUGAAACUCAA
rnacentral:rRNA from 1 species